CGCGCGGUAGAGCAGCCGGAAAGCUCGUCGGGCUCAUAACCCGAAGGUCGCAGGUUCGAUCCCUGCCCGCGCAA
rnacentral:tRNA from 1 species